AACGAACGCUGGCGGCAUGCCUAACACAUGCAAGUCGAACGAAACCUUCGGGUCUAGUGGCGCACGGGGGCGUAACAACUGGUGACCUGCCCUUAAGUUCGGAAUACCUCACCGAAGGGGGUGCUAAUACAGGUGAAGGUAAUACGAGAUAGGAGGUCUCGCUUUGGGGUGGGGCUGCGUUGGUUUCGGCGGUUGGGAGGGGAAAAGCCUGCCAAGGGGACGUUCCAUGGCUGGUGUGUGAGGAUGACCAGCUAGACUGGGACUGAGACACGGACCAGACUCCUACGGGAGGGAGGAGUAGGGAAUAUUGUACGAGGGGCGAAAGCCUGAUACAGCAGCGUCGGGGGAGUGAUGAAGGCGUUAGGGUUGUAAAGCUGUUUUAGCCGAGACGAUAAUGACAGUACCGGGAGAAUAAGCACCGGCUAACUCCGUG
rnacentral:rRNA from 1 species